GAGAGCAGCGGAGCAUCCCCCCGGGGCAAGGACCACAGAGACCCAUGGAGUGGCAAAGACGGUGCCGGGAUGGGGCGGAAGGAGCCUGGACACCCACCGGAGCAUCCCCCUGAUCCUAGGAAUCCCCACGGAGCACGGAGUGCGGCGCACCAUCGGCCUGGAGCGAGGACCACGGUGUCGGGAGCACCACGGAGAGCAGUGGAGCAUCCCCGGGGUGAGGACGACGGUGCCAGGACCACUGCGGAGAUUGAGAUAGCAUCCGCCGGGGUGGAGGAAUCCCGACGGAGAGCGGCGGAGCAUCCCCGGGGUUGAUGAGGGAGGCCACAGACAGAGCAUCCCCCGGGGCAGCGGCGGUGACGGUGCCGGGAUCGGGCGGAAGCUCCGUGGACCCCCACCGGAGCAUCCCCCACAAUUAAGGCCCGUCCCCCUCCCUCCAAUUUCUGAAAUAAAUUUGACAAAAAUCUCAUUAAA